GGAGGUGCGAUUGGGACGCUGAAGUGCGAUGGUCACGCUGAAGUGCGAUGGUCUACACCGAAGUGCGAUGGUCUGUACGCUGAAGUGCGAUGGUCUAUUUGACGCAUGAUCGCUAGUUAAACCUCCUUUCUACAGACGUUCAUUUAUCAUUAGAAGUAGAUUUUUUCAUAUAUUUUUUUUUUUAAUUUAUAUCCAUUAUAAUUGUUUAUGGCUGUCCUUAAUUCAGUUAUAUGCUAAAUGAGAGCUCGUACUCUUCAAAGUCCUACAUGUGAACAUAAUUCGAAAUCAUCAUUUUAUCUAGGCCUAUACGUUGUUUCUCUCAUGAGUGCCUUGUGUAUAAUCACUUUAAUGAAGAAAGUUCGUCUGCAGACCCGAAUGUAUUGAGAUAAUGUUAUGCACUAUCGUACGUUAAACAGAACCGUUUGUAGAUUUUCCCUAUCCACCAAAAAUACUCCCCGUUUCACAUAGUAUUAAAAUAUUUUAAGACCCGUAUCAUGUCAGUAACUGCUAGUAGUCCUUUUUUAAUUUAGUUUAUCAUUGUCAUUUUGCUUAUACAAUUAGUUAAUUUUGUUACCUAUUCUGACAUCGGACACUAACUUCUUUUAAACUGAGGUUUACUGUGUGUAUUAUUGUUGUUUUGUUUUGUUCAAUCUACAUUGGCUAGAGGUAUAGGGGAAUGGGGUUGAUUUUUCACUAAGCAUGUUUAAACCCGUCGCAUUUUUGCGCCUGUGCAAAGUCAGAAGCCUCUGGCCUUUGUAGGUCUUGUUUUUUUGUUUUAGUUUAGUUCAUUUUUAUGAUUAGGAAUUUAGUA
rnacentral:lncRNA from 1 species